rnacentral:rRNA from 1 species
AAUAGAUACCCGGGUAGUCCAUGCCGUAAACGUUGGGCACUAGGUGUGGGGCUCAUUCCACGAGUUCCGUGCCGCAGCAAACGCAUUAAGUGCCCCGCCUGGGGAGUACGGCCGCAAGGCUAAAACUCAAAGGAAUUGACGGGGGCCCGCACAAGCGGCGGAGCAUGCGGAUUAAUUCGAUGCAACGCGAAGAACCUUACCAAGGCUUGACAUGCACGGGAAGCCACCAGAGAUGGUGGUCUCUUUGGACACUCGUGCACAGGUGGUGCAUGGUUGUCGUCAGCUCGUGUCGUGAGAUGUUGGGUUAAGUCCCGCAACGAGCGCAACCCUCGUCCCAUGUUGCCAGCGGGUUAUGCCGGGGACUCAUGGGAGACUGCCGGGGUCAACUCGGAGGAAGGUGGGGAUGACGUCAAAUCAUCAUGCCCCUUAUGUCUUGGGCUUCACGCAUGCUACAAUGGCCGGUACAAAGGGCUGCGAUACCGUAAGGUGGAGCGAAAUCCCAAAAAGCCGGUCUCAGUUCGGAUUGGGGUCUG